CCUACGGGAGGCAGCAGUGGGGAAUCUUGCGCAAUGGGCGAAAGCCUGACGCAGCGACGCCGCGUGAGGGAAGAAGGCCUUCGGGUUGUAAACCUCUUUCAGGAGGGACGAAGCCACUCGGGUUAAUAGCCCAGAGGGUGACGGUACCUCCAGAAGAAGCCCCGGCUAACUACGUGCCAGCAGCCGCGGUAAU
rnacentral:rRNA from 1 species